AGAGGGUGCGAGCGUUAAUCGGAAUUACUGGGCGUAAAGGGCGCGUAGGUGGAUAAAUAAGUCAUAUGUGAAAGGGCCUGGGGCUUAACCUAGGGACUGCAUGUGAUACUGUUUAUCUAGAGUACAGUAGAGGAUAGUGGAAUUUCCGGUGUAGCGGUGAAAUGCGUAGAUAUCGGAAGGAACACCAGUGGCGAAGGCGGCUAUCUGGACUGAUACUGACACUGAGGCGCGAAAGCGUGGGGAGCAAACAGGAUUAGAUACCCUGGUAGUCCACGCCGUAAACGAUGAGUACUAGCCGUUGGGAGCGUAAGCUUUUAGUGGCGUAGCAAACGCGCUAAGUACUCCGCCUGGGGAGUACGGCCGCAAGGCUA
rnacentral:rRNA from 1 species